UGAACGGCUGGCGGCGUAGCUUAACACAUGCAAGUCGAACGAAGUUAAGUGAAACCUAGUGAUCUUAACUAGUGGCGGACGGGUGAGUAACGCGUGGGUAACCUGCCGCAUAGCAGGGGGACAACAGUUGGAAACGACUGCUAAUACCGCAUAAGCGCACGGGACCGCAUGGUCCAGUGUGAAAAGAUUUAUCGGCAUGCGAUGGACCCGCGUCCGAUUAGCCAGUUGGCGGGGUAACGGCCCACCAAAGCUACGAUCGGUAGCCGGCCUGAGAGGGUGAACGGCCACAUUGGGACUGAGACACGGCCCAAACUCCUACGGGAGGCAGCAGUGGGGAAUAUUGCACAAUGGGGGAAACCCUGAUGCAAGCGACGCCGCGUGAGUGAUGAAGUAUUUCGGUACGUAAAGCUCUAUCAGCAGGAAAGAAAAUGACGGUACCUGACUAAGAAGCCCCGGCUAACUACGUGCCAGCCGCUGC
rnacentral:rRNA from 1 species